CUGCGUUUCUAGGGUUUUUUUUUGUGUGUAAGCUUUCUCUGCGCUGCUCUAAAUCUUCAAACCUGCACAGCAAAUCGUCUAGUCAUGGGUCAUUCCAACGUCUGGAAUUCACACCCCAAGACCUAUGGGCCUGGUUCUCGUGCCUGCCGUGUGUGUGGAAAUCCCCAUGGGUUGAUCAGGAAGUAUGGGCUUAUGUGUUGCAGACAGUGCUUCCGUAGCAAUGCCAAGGAAAUUGGCUUCAU
rnacentral:misc_RNA from 1 species